GACGAACGCUGGCGGCGUGCCUAAUACAUGCAAGUCGAGCGGAAUGAUGAAGAAGCUUGCUUCUUCUGAUUUUAGCGGCGGACGGGUGAGUAACACGUGGGCAACCUACCUUGUAGAUUGGGAUAACUCCGGGAAACCGGGGCUAAUACCGAAUAAUCCAUUUUGCUUCAUGGCGAGAUGUUGAAAGACGGUUUCGGCUGUCACUAUAAGAUGGGCCCGCGGCGCAUUAGCUAGUUGGUAGGGUAAUGGCCUACCAAGGCGACGAUGCGUAGCCGACCUGAGAGGGUGAUCGGCCACACUGGACUGAGACACGGCCCAGACUCCUACGGGAGGCAGCAGUAGGGAAUCUUCCACAAUGGACGAAAGUCUGAUGGAGCAACGCCGCGUGAGUGAAGAAGGUUUUCGGAUCGUAAAACUCUGUUGUAAGGGAAGAACACGUACGAGAGUAACUGCUCGUACCUUGACGGUACCUUAUUAGAAAGCCACGGCUAACUACGUG
rnacentral:rRNA from 1 species